GAUGAACGCUGGCGGCGUGCCUAAUACAUGCAAGUCGAGCGAACAGACGAGGAGCUUGCUUCUCUGACGUUAGCGGCGGACGGGUGAGUAACACGUGGAUAACCUACCUAUAAGACUGGGAUAACUUCGGGAAACCGGAGCUAAUACCGGAUAAUAUAUUGAACCGCAUGGUUCAAUAGUGAAAGACGGUUUUGCUGUCACUUAUAGAUGGAUCCGCGCCGCAUUAGCUAGUUGGUAAGGUAACGGCUUACCAAGGCAACGAUGCGUAGCCGACCUGAGAGGGUGAUCGGCCACACUGGAACUGAGACACGGUCCAGACUCCUACGGGAGGCAGCAGUAGGGAAUCUUCCGCAAUGGGCGAAAGCUUGACGGAGCCACGCCGCGUGAGUGAUGAAGGUCUUCGGAUCGUAAAACUCUGUUAUUAGGGAAGAACAAAUGUGUAAGUAACUAUGCACGUCUUGACGGUACCUAAUCAGAAAGCCACGGCUAACUACGUG
rnacentral:rRNA from 1 species